rnacentral:tRNA from 1 species
GGGACCGUAGCUCAAUUGGUUAGAGCACUCGCCUGUCACGCGAGAGGUUACGGGUUCGAGCCCCGCCGGUCCCGCCA